AGAGUUUGAUCCUGGCUCAGAUUGAACGCUGGCGGCAUGCCUUACACAUGCAAGUCGAACGGCAGCACGGACUUCGGUCUGGUGGCGAGUGGCGAACGGGUGAGUAAUACAUCGGAACGUGCCUGGUAGUGGGGGAUAACUACUCGAAAGAGUGGCUAAUACCGCAUGAGAUCUACGGAUGAAAGCAGGGGAUCGCAAGACCUUGUGCUACUAGAGCGGCCGAUGGCAGAUUAGGUAGUUGGUGGGAUAAAAGCUUACCAAGCCAACGAUCUGUAGCUGGUCUGAGAGGACGAUCAGCCACACUGGGACUGAGACACGGCCCAGACCCCUACGGGAGGCAGCAGUGGGGAAUUUUGGACAAUGGGCGAAAGCCUGAUCCAGCAAUGCCGCGUGCAGGAUGAAGGCCUUCGGGUUGUAAACUGCUUUUGUACGGAACGAAAAGCUUCGGGUUAAUACCCUGGAGUCAUGACGGUACCGUAAGAAUAAGCACCGGCUAACUACGUGCCAGCAGCCGCGGUAAUACGUAGGGUGCAAGCGUUAAUCGGAAUUACUGGGCGUAAAGCGUGCGCAGGCGGUUUUGUAAGGCAGAGGUGAAAUCCCCGGGCUCAACCUGGGAACUGCCUUUGUGACUGCAAGGCUAGAGUACGGCAGAGGGGGGAUGGAAUUCCGCGUGUAGCAGUGAAAUGCGUAGAUAUGCGGAGGAACACCGAUGGCGAAGGCAAUCCCCUGGGCCUGUACUGACGCUCAUGCACGAAAGCGUGGGGAGCAAACAGGAUUAGAUACCCUGGUAGUCCACGCCCUAAACGAUGUCAACUGGUUGUUGGGUCUUCAUUGACUCAGUAACGAAGCUAACGCGUGAAGUGACCGCCUGGGGA
rnacentral:rRNA from 1 species